rnacentral:rRNA from 1 species
AUUGAACGCUGGCGGCAUGCCUUACACAUGCAAGUCGAACGGUAGAGGGGGCAACCCCUUGAGAGUGGCGAACGGGAGAGUAAAGCAUCGGAACGCGCCCAGGAGUGGGGGAUAGCUCGGCGAAAGCCGGAUUAAUACCGCAUGUUACUUGAGGGUGAAAGCGGGGGACCGCAAGGCCUCGCGCUGGUGGAGCGGCCGAUGUCAGAUUAGUGAGUUGGUGGGGUAAAGGCCUACCAAGCCGACGAUUUGUGGCUGGUCUGAGAGGACGACCAGCCACACUGGGACUGAGACACGGCCCAGACUCCUACGGGAGGCAGCAGUGGGGAAUUUUGGACAAUGGGCGCAAGCCUGAUCCAGCCAUGCCGCGUGCGGGAAGAAGGCCUUCGGGUUGUAAACCGCUUUUGUCAGGGAAGAAAUCUGCCGGGUUAAUACCCUGGUGGGAUGACGGUACCUGGAGAAUAAGCACCGGCUAACUACGUGCCAGCCGCCGCCGUAA